rnacentral:rRNA from 1 species
ACACACCGCCCGUCACACCACGAGAGGUUGUAACACCCGAAGUCGGUAGGGUAACCUUUAUGGAGCCAGCCGCCGAAGGUGGGACAGAUAAGUGGGGUGAAGUCGUAACAAGGUAGCCGUAUCGGAAGGUGCGGCUGGAUCACCUCCUUUCUAAGGAA